GGGGGUGUAGCUCAGCGGUCAGCAGCAAGAGGCUUUUAACCUCGAGGUCCAGGGUUCGAAUCCCUGCGCCCCCACCA
rnacentral:tRNA from 1 species